rnacentral:misc_RNA from 1 species
CUGCGAUCAUCUCUCGAUGGGAACUCAUCAGCUUCAAGCAUAUGUACAACAUGUCCCAUUUUUGGCCUCUUCUGUGCAUUUGAGUCCACACAACGUAAAGCUACAAGAAGAGCCCUCUUUAGUGCCCUUGAAGAAGGCUUCUCUGGUAACUUAGGAUCCAAUACCCCCUCUGGAUUCCUUUCAGCGACCUUCUUCUUAAGCCACUCAACUAAGUUGACCUCUUCUGGAGGCCGGCUAUAAUCAACUGGGUUCCU